CACCGUUUUGUCUCCUGGCUUUCUCAUUUUGCAACGCUUCAACCUUGAAUGCUUGAUGCUUUUCUUUCUUCCACCGUUUGGCUCUUUUCCGUUUCUUAUUUUCCAAAGUAUAGCAAAGCUUAAAAAUCAAAUGGAUCCCCGUGCAAGAGAAAUUUCAUUGCCUCUUCCUUCCCCCUUAACCUAGCAGCGCCGCUGCUCACAUGAGAGAGAUAAUUGAACUCGAUGGUGUCUCUGCGGUUCCGGGCGGUGAACACGGAGGCUGUGGAGCUCUGAUCUUCAAUCCGUUUAACCACUAUAUCUCUCCAUCUGCGACUACAAGGUAAGUUCUUUAACCCUCUUCCACUCUCCAUUCACUGAUUCUUCAACUUAAAUCCUUACUGAUUUUUAUAGAUUUCUUUUCGAUAUGAAUCAGUUCCAGAGCAAAGUUGCUCAUCAGAAGGUAAAAGCUUUCACCUCCUUCGACUUUCAUUUCCUUUUUCAAGAUGAGGAUCAAUCUGUUGGGUUGUUGGUGCUACAAUGUGGUUUUGCACAGGAAUUUGCUUUAGCAAAGCUAAGAGGCUUGGCUUGGAGGGUGUAUCUGUUGUCAUCUCUUACUCAGCUUCUCGCAAACAGAAGGUGGAAGAUUGAAAGAGAAGGAAAGGGAAUAGAAUGUUUGUUGAGAGGUUUCCAUCGCAGUCUCAAUCUUCAACAGUGGUAUAAACUCCUUUUACUUUGCUUCUUAAUGACUUUUCCUGAUCAUUUUCUGUUUGUGUGCAAACUUCAGUGAGAGAAUAGCUAAUUAGAGUUGAUAUUAGUGUGUGAAUUCUCUUAAUUCGGUUAGGCUAUUAGAUUUAUAUGAGUACUCUUAUUGUUAUGAUUGAUUCAAUAAGUUUUUUACUAAUUCUGCAUACGAAAAUGAAUAUUACCACUAUCUCCCAUUUAUAUAUGCAUGUGAAGUGAUGCAGUGAAUGGCUGAUUCUGGGUGUUUCUUUAUGCAAACUGUGCUGGAAUUUUCUGAUUCAUGUUUGUUUUAAUGUUGGGUAUCUAUGGAGUGUUUGGAGAAAGAGAGAAAUGCCAUAUUAAGUGCUUGGUGGAAGAGGGAAAUGCCAAAACCUUUUUGGGCCCUUCAGUGAGAGCUGCCGAGAGGGCAUCCUGCAUUAUAUUUUGCUUUUCAAUAAUGCGUAUUCUUACAUUAAAAUGGCUUAAGAUUUAAACCCAAAAAAAGUUCAUAGCUUAAGGAGUUACAGCUUUUAAAUAAGAAAAAGUAUCUGCAGUUGUGCAUGUUUCACCUUGCAACAAUGAACUGGCGCAUAAGUUUAAGUAUAGUUGUUGUAAGUAAAUAUUGUCCACUUCAAUCACUCGGUUGUUGGUUACUUUCUACUUUCUGAUACAUCUAUAUCAUAUGCCAAAAGGAAAAAAAUGAUUGCUUUUGAUGAACAUAAUUGCACAUUUGUACAAGCUUAGUAAAUUACUAAUACUAUUAGCUGCCUCAUAUUUUUACCUUUUGUGUAUUGAAUUUGGGGAAACCAAGCUCCAUGCUUUGCAUUUUUACAUGGCACUGUAUUCUUCAAGUUUGAACUGCCUCUGUGAAAGCCUAUGAAUUGUAGUGAAUUUACUUAGAUGAUCCUUUGAAUGCUAUCUUUGCGCGCCCAGGUUCCUACUGAGGUCAGUUACUCAUUUUAAAUUUAUCUUUUGGGAAAUUUUGCAAUUUAGUUUUUGAAAUUGUGAAUUUGUGCACAUGCAUUGGUAGUUUGGUUUAUAGGUGGAGUUGAAAAUUUUCUACUUUAAAUGCAUGAAUGACAUGGCAGGUUGCAUGAUAGUGGACACAAGCUAAUACAAAUGUCCAAUUGCUAGAGAGACUGAAAUUUUAUCUGUUUCAGAAUCUUAAACUACCAAAUAAAUGUGAGGCAGCAACCAGAAAGUUGCAGGGAGAGUUCAGCACAUAUAAAGUGCAAUAUCUAUAGCCUUUGUAUAAUUUUGUUUGAAUUGAUAACAAGGAGAGUUCCUUAUGCAGUGGGAAAUGGCUUUCUUGCAGCUUGGGCAGCAGAAUAUAUUAGGUGGUUGAUAUAAGCUUGAAGGAAUUGGUUAUAAAGUUUCCAGUUUUGGGGCUUUGGUUUGUAUUGUCCUCUGUAAUGCGGCUGAAGGGGGAGAGGGCUAGAAGGAACAAUGAUGAUGGCGGGUUUCUUGGUAUGCAGUUGUGUGUUUGUGUUUUUAACAUUACUAAUCCAAUCUUCCAUUUUCAUGGAGAAAAAUUCAGAUUUCACAUUGAGAUAGUAAUCCUUUCAUCGAACUAUGGAGGCCUCGAAUACCAUAGGUUUGGGUAUGUCAACUUUACGUACAAGGUGAGGAAAUUCUUCCAUUAUAAGUAAGGACAUUCAGUUGGUUGUAGCACAGAUUCUGGAGGUUUAAUUUAUAUUCUUUACAAUUGUCCUCCAUACCAAUGCUAAAUCUUGGGAAAAUGAGGAAGGUUUGUGUUUGAGAAUGAGAAACACAAUGGGAUUGCCAAGUUGGAGAUUUUGGGAGUGAAAGUGUAAAAAAUGCUAUCUUUAUACAUUUUAUACACGGGGACAGACGGGAAUGGUACUGUGCGGUGCUGCUUCGUCCAUCUUUAAAAAAUGCUACCACAUACAUUUGUAGGGGAUAUACAUAGACAGGAAAUUGCACGUCCAUGUCCAUAAAUCAGGGUUUAACUGUCACUUGAUUGCACAUAGUGCUAUUUUUCAAUGUACACUAAUUUCGGACAAAUUGCACAUGCCUUAUAUAUGUUUACAAUGAUAUGUAUAAAUGAUAUAAUUUUUUGGGGUUCCAUGAUUACAGGGUUUUCUCAACUAUAUUCAGAGAUAUGCCAAGGCAUGGUGUUUGUCAGCCAAAUGAGUUUAUAUUUGGCAGUGUUUUCAGCAGACUCAGUGCAUGCUGCAGCCUUCUCGAACCAGAAUAUGAAGGCAUAUACAUGGAAUAUGUGCUCAAUUUCAUUUAGGGAGGAACGCUUUCGCCGAAUACUCUCUGUUACAUGUAUAUGAAAUUUGGAUUCCUACCUUCAGCAAAGAUGACAUUUCUUCUUGUGUCAUGUUGCAUAUUAUUUGAAUUGUCAUGUUUUCUUUUGUUACAUAAAUGAAAUCAAUGCUCUAUUGCUAA